rnacentral:lncRNA from 1 species
GGGUGAUGCUGUGUGCAAGGCAGAUACAAGAUGGUUUUUCCAUAAGAGGAAGUGAUCAUGGCAACCAUGACCUUCUCUGACCUUCUCUCUUCCAAGAGGCUGUUGGGAAGGUGGGAUGACCUAGGAUUGACCUUGGACUUGACAUCACAGAAGCCAUUUCAACCUUCACAGGGUUUCCUCAGCAGUGCCCCGGAGCAGGGACCGCGCCAGCCAGCAGAAACAGCUAGUUGUUGUCUGCAGUGAAGAAUAAUUGGAAGCAUGGUGCCUGUUUCUUUUCCUGUGGGAGGAAGUCACAGCAUCUACUUCUGAAUCUGUGCUUGCCUUGAGGAAAAACGGCAUGGCACAGGAAUGUGGACGCUUUCAACCAGAGGAUUCUGUACGACGGUGUCGGCACACAAGGAGUGUUCCACUGACUGACCUCUUUUUGUUUUCAAAUGAAGAGGAGCCAAGAAUAGGACAGCUUGGGAAGGUGAGCUGCGUAUAGCUCGUCAGGCUGAGCUCAUCCUCGUCUACGGCCAAACGUUGGUUUCUCAUUUCUAGAAGAUGAAAGAUGUGAUGACUCAGGAAAAACUUGCUGCUCGAGAUGUGAGUCUUCAGAUGUUCCUGCCGCCAUAUCUGACAGCUGCUGCCAAGAUUCCCUGGUGGGAUGGACUCUUAUACCUCAACAACCAGAAGCCCAAGUAAACUCUUCUAUAAAUUGAAUGACUCAUGCUUAAAAAAAAAAACAAAAAACAAACUAUCUUUAUUUUGUGUGCAUUGGUGUUUUGCCUACAUAUAUGUCUGUGUGAGAGUGUCAGAUUCCUUGGAACUGUAGCUACAGAUAGUUGUGAGCCACCAUGUGGGUGCUGGGACUUGAACCCCAGUCCUCUAGAAGAGCAGCUGGUAGGUACUCUUAACCACUGGACCAUCCCUCUAGACCCUGAUCAUGGUGUUUUAACUACAGCAAAAGAAAAGUAAUUAGCACAAUCAGGUUAGCCAGAGGGCACACCUGUGACAGAUUUUUC